GACGCGCUCAAAAUAACCAGGUUACCGCUUAGCAGAAGCCCAUUUUGGGGAGGUCCCAGCACGAGGGCGCAACACCAUAUAUCAAAUCCUUUCAGCUCUUGGCGAUGUCGUGGUCAUAUAGCCUACAACUGGGCAAUAACAUCAGCAAGUCCGUUUACAGAGAAUGGAUAUUUUGAGGACCGUCGGCGGUGCGUAGCGCACGGGGGUCGCUCAGACUGGAAAACAUCGCAUUUAUCCAUUUAAAAAAGCUUAGGAGAAUCACUGGCACCGCGGCACGAGUGCUACACUGUUGCGUUUUUCUUAUUUAGGAAAAACAACAUUUCAAGUUAUUUUGAAAGAAAGUGGUGCAAUUCGUCCCCAAGGAUAUUCUUUCUAAAUUUGGGGAUUGUGCAAUACCAGCGCCACUGAUCAAAAAGAGGGGCGGUGGUGGUGUGAUGAGCAGCAGCGAACUUCAACUUCGCACGCAUCUCCAAUCUCUCCCAUACACUCCUCAUCAAGCGAGGGUUUUGCGCGAAGUCAUCUUGCUGUCCAAGGGAUGCGGACGACACAUCACGGAUCCUACCGCGUUGCGUGUUUAUGCUGAACAUGUUUGUGACAUUGGAGAAUAUCAGUUUCUUGACAUUGCGCCAAGGGCCAGACAGAGAGACGGGCGGAGGAUUCUGAUCUGAUCCGGGUUGGGGUGUGGUGGAGUUGGAGAACUGUCUGAGAGGGGGAGGCUGGCUGGAGGAGACGGAGAGGAGUACUCUUCCGUGGGGGUGAGUCAUCGCCUUCGGAGGCUAUUCGGUGAGUUUCAUCUGGGAGGAUCGUGAAUCUUCGGUUGGUCGGUGAAUCCGCUGUCCUCCUCGCCACAGCCAGAGAGGGGCUGGGAAGGAAAGUGUGGGGGCCUGGCUGGGCUGAUGACUCAGGGCCACGCACCGCACAAGGAGUGAGGGAGGAGGGGGGAGGGAGGGAGGAAUUACUCAGAGCAUGUGGAAUCUCAUACAGCUAUCACAGGACAGACACUGUGCUUCUACUAGGCUCCGAGGCACUGUAGAAGUCUGUCCUUAGACACAGCAGUAAUGGCAGUGGUAAGACGGCUAAGGGCCAUUGGUUUCCAUUGAAGAGGAACAGAACAGAGAAGUAUAUUCUUGUCCUCGCACUUUGAAGCAAAGUCAUGCCCCCCUUCUUAUUGAAUGAAUUACGUCUUUCUAUCACAGCAAGUCGGUGCAGGUUUGACACUCUGCAACUCCAGCAAAGUAAUUAAGCAUUGCAUGCUGUCAAAAUAUUCCAUUACAAAAGUCUUGAAGAUUUGGGAAGUGUCUCCGGUGACUAUCUAGAUGGGAGGGGGAGGUGAGUUGGGCCGUUUAUUGUCCAGUGAUGAUGCUCCUCCUCCAUCUCUGUCAUUGGAGAAAUCCUUUCGAAUAGCCAAGCUUCAUUGAGUGAUGAUGACAAACAUUUCCGGAAAGAGAAAGUGAGUGGUGUGAGAACUACCUGUAUGACAUGCACCAUGGACUCUCUAGCGUGAGUCAUCAGGCCUAAAGACGCCGAACUGUGAGUGGGGAUUCAGGUGUUGAUAAAUGGCCAACGGUGGAGGGCUGGUCGGGAGAUAGGUGGGGGCUGGUGUGUGUUGGAUAUGUGUAUUGUGUGCAUAUAUUGUCGUGUGCAUGUAUUGUGUGAUGUGAGUGUGGAGGGGGGUUAUGGUGUGUGUGUGUGUGUGUGUGUGUGUGUGUGUGUGUGUGUGUGUGUGUGUGUGUGUGUGUGUGUGUGUGUGUGUGUGUCUCCAUGAAGGGGGGUUGAUGUUGUGUGAUGCAUGACUCAACAGGAGAGAAGGCCACACCCAUGGGACGAGCCCAGGCUCCCUUCAGCGGCGGGAUGGGCCUAGAUCUCACUGACUAUGGGUGCCAUGAUUAAGGUGUCUUGGCCUAACGGAUGGAGCUCAAACACUUGGCCUCAUGGUGAACAAACACACCGACACAAAGGCAGAGAGGCCGGGCAAGAAAGUGGAGCACACCUUCACCUUCCGCCGUAUCCCCAUGUAUAAUCAAACUCUUCCAACCUGACUUCAGCCAACCGGCUACUGAGAGUCUGAGACCUGGCCCCGUAUUCACAAAGCAUCUCAGAGUAGCAGUGCUGAUCUUGGAUCAGGUCCCGCCCUGUCCAUACAAUCAUAUUCAUUAUGAUCUAAAAGGCAAAAAACUGAACCUAGAUCUGCACUCCUACUCUGAGACACUUUAUGAUAGGGACAACCCAGAGUAAACAGAACAACUUAGCCAUGGCUUAACCAUGUGUUGCAUCUCCAUUAUGGUAAUUUCCUCCAGUAAUUACUAAUCAUUAAAUGUGUCACUCCCAAUCACCUGGAUAGUGUUUAUAAUACAGCCUGCCUUGGUAAAUUCCCAUCAUUCUGAAAUAGCCUGAUUGUGUUUAAUUGGAGUGUUCACUAAACAGUCCACCCACCAGCAUCAACAAAUCCAAUGUAUUUUAACAGCAGGCAACAAUUUAAUCCACCUCAAUAUAUCGCCAUUGUAAAUAACCAAGACGCAGAGCACAAUGUUGCACAAUCAGCCUGAGUUUAGGAGGAGUUGAAAGGUCAGGUAAACAGUUGUCCCAGGCUUUCCCUGCCUUUUAAUCAGGACUCCUGUCCAUUUUUAUCUUGGUUAGAUCUCUUGACUUAUGGCUGUGUACACUAAUGCUGCACUUCAUGGCUUCUUAACCCACUGUUUGGUUUGCUUCAUAUGGACUGGAAUGUCAAGUUGCUAUUUGGCAUGGAGGUUUGUGCGCUGAGUCGCCGACAAAGCAUGGAAUGAAUCCUUUGUAGGCUAAUGGGCGGGCCAACCUUUUCCAGUGUUUGUCAUGGUGAGUUUGUUUGCGUAUAUGCGUACCUCAUAUUCAUAUUCAGUGCUAACUUCAGUGCUUGUGUGUUUCCAUUCUGUGAAUAUAGAUCCUCAAAGCUCAAAGUGGUCCUGUCUCAGAGAAAACUGCCUCAUUCAGCACAAAUAUUAUGGAAGACCAUUUAGAUACUUCUCCACCCUCCUUGUCCUCGCCAACCAGCCAUGGCGGAGGUGCUGACAGAUUUGUAGUUGUUUUCUGGCAAUUUGGGGUCAACGAUGCAUGUUAGCAAACCUUUUGCAUUGGAAAACCAGGAGGCCCCCAACGUGCAUUCUGCAAUGUACACAGCACUCCGUUGGGUGAUUGGCAUGUGUCUGAUGAUGCUUUAGAUAUGGUGGUGGCCGUCGAAUGAAGCGUUCACAGUAAACUAAUGUUGGCAGGGGUCUGUAUUGGCAAGAAUGCACAAAAUCCCUGUCAUUCGGUAACUAAUAGACCACUUUAACGCUAAAACAGACUUCGCAGAGUAAGCCACAGAUGCUCAAACGUUCAAAUCUCUGCACAGCACGUUGGAAAGGACUAAGGGGAGACAACCUUGCUACCUCAAAUGGCCUCCUGCAGUCUUCAAGGACUGAGUGGGGCCGGUGAACUUAAGGAGAUUUUCAUGGUUUCUGAAGUAUCUUUGGGUUUUCUCAGGCGGUCUCAACAGCACAGCAUGAAGGUUACAGCUUGAAGACCCACAGUCUAGUCCUCCUUGUUCAGGCUGGCUCAGUUGAUAGGACGACAUGACCAUAAGGGGAAAUCCAUCUUCCUCAAAACCCCUCUAAAAUUAGUCUUCCGCCCCUAUCAAAACUGUCAAUGGAGCUCCUUCAAAUCACAGAGAAAACAUGAUUGUUACUCUUUGGUCUUUAUGUUGGCAAACCCCCUUCAUCUGGAAGGAGAAGCAAAAUACAUUUAUAGUCCGUUUCAGGGGGAAAAUGUGUGUGUAGCACAACUGUUCUACAGGGCCGAACAAAGAGAUGUUUUAUGUUGGCACUCGAUUGAUGUCUGUGGAUCACAAUGUGACAAGGCAGACCUCAGAAGACCCUUGCCCAGCAGCUAGUGAUGUGCCUUCUUAUUCUUGGAGCCACUCUCUCAUUCCAGGACAUAGAAACCCUUGGCCUGGCCAUCCAUAGCCGCCCAACUCCAAAACCAAUAGUGCUGCCCAUGUGUAAGCAAAGAGGGCAAGUGUUUUUUUCACGACACCUAAAUGUCUUUUUCUUUUGUGGACAGCAUCUUUCAUUGCCCAUUUAGCUUUUUGUUAUUCCACAAGUCUUUGUCUUGGCCAGUUCGUGUGCACAUAGCUCUGCGGGAUCUGAGGCGUCACACACUGUGGGGAUGUUAUUUUGGUCAUGUGACGUCUAGAGUUGACACUGGCAUCGAUCCCCCAGUAGGAUCUUUUGACUUCCUUGACUUCCCUUUUAGUUUGUAGUGAAGUAAAGUGGCUUUACAGCGCUUCUACAUCGAAACCCUGUUUGGAACGCUUUCUUUAGAUCAGUGGUUAUCAACAGGUCGAUCUCCAAGGCAUUCCUAGUCGAUCGCCAAAUAUUCUGUGAAAAACCCACCAAUAAGCCUUGCGUUCCUAUUUUUCAUGUGCACUAUAGGCCUACCAAUCAGAGGACUGGCUUCAGUAACAUAGCAGGCAUAAAAGAAAGCUACAGCAAAUGGGGGACAGAGGGUAGUGCGCACGGUCUAGUACGUCACUGGGGACAAGCUUCCUGCCAUCCAGGACCUAUAUACCAGGAGGUGUCAGAGGGUAGUACGCACAGCCCAGUACAUCCCUGGGGCCAAGCUUCCUGCCAUCCAGGACCUAUAUAACAGGAGGUGUCAGAGGGUAGUGCGCACGGCCUAGUACAUCCCUGGGGCCAAGCUUCCUGCCAUCCAGGACCUAUAUACCAGGCGGUGUCAGAGGGUAGUGCGCACGGCCUAGUACAUCCCUGGGGCCAAGCUUCCUGCCAUCCAGGACCUAUAUACCAGGCGGUGUCAGAGGAAGGCCCAAAAAAUUGUCAAAGACUCCAUUCACCCAAGUCAUAGCCUAGGACCAAAAGGCUCCUUAACAGCUUCUACCUCCAAGCCAUAAGACUGCUGAACAAUGAAUCUAAUUGCCACCGGGACUAUACAUUGACCCCCCCCCCCCCCUUUUUUUUUUACACUGCUGCUACUCGCUGUUUAUUAUCUAUACAUAGUCACUUUACAAAUUACCUCAACUAACCUGUACCCCCGCAUAUUGACAAGGUACCGGUGUCCCCUGUAUAUAGCCUCUCUGAUGUGCAAUUUUCUUGUUACUUUUUGAUUUUAAUAUUUUUUUUAACUUUAGUUUGUUUAGUACAUAUUUUCUUAACUCUAUUUCUUGAACUGCAUUGUUGCUUGUAAGUAAGAAUUUCACUGUAAGGUUGUUGUAUUCGGCGCGUGUGACAAAUAACAUUUGAUUUGAAGACUGUGUCCCUUUUUGGUCGGAGUCAGCGGAGGCCCCUCAGUCUGCUGCUCUCUCCCUCCGCUGAGACUGACCAUCAGAUGCCUAGUAAAAUAAGAAAAAGUGAAUUAUUUAAAUGUAUGCUCAUUCAGCUGUGCCUCACAAUAAUACAACAACUGGUCUAUUAAUGGUGUGAUCAUAUAGCCUACCUCAAAUGUUGAAAUAUAAUUGUCAAAAAUGGUCUGAGAAGCAAAGCCAAUAUGCAGUGAUAAUAUAUUGUGCUUAUAGCCUACUGCACAAACCUCAUUACUAGAGUACCGCUUUUUACAGGUUAAUGUUGCCUAGGCUUAUGUUUUUAAAUCAUGUAAAAACGGUAGAUCUCGGCUUGCAUUUUGACUCAGAAAAGGUAUGUGACCACUGCUUUAGAUUAUUCCGGGUGGUUCCUGCCUUCUUCGUCUUUUAUUAUUUAUCUUCAUCUUCUUCAUUGUCUUCAUCUUCUUCUCAAAAAAUAGGUUUUAUUCAGUAGCCAACUGUUGCAUCAAUGCAUGCCACCAUUUCUAGAACAUGGCUGUAGAUUUCUUCUGAAGUCGGGUAAUAUUUAUGAUGUAACACACCACACAACUGCAGUCUUUUGAAACUUUAGCAGCUUCCGCCACGGCCAUUUUAGAUAUAUAAAGUUAAUAAAGAAGUUGUAUUGAGUAAACAGUCGUCUCUGUUCCCAGAGCGAGAGAGAAGAAAAUUCAUGUAGUGCAGUAAAUUGAACUCAACUUUGCCUCGUUCAUGAACCCCCCCCCCCUAAGAAGAACCUGUUCCAACAAGCGAAACACUUUCCAGCUAAGCUAACACAAAGGCCUUUUAACAUAACAUAAGAUAAUUGGUUUUCAAUUAUGAGAUACCAAUAAAAACCAGGUUAACGCCUCUGUCAGAGGCUGAGAAACGCUUGAAAAGUGUUGGACAUAACCAUAUAAAGGUCUUUUCUCUAAAUACUUUGAUACAGGGCCUUCAGAAAGUAUUCACACACCUUGACUUAUUCCACAUUUUGUUGUGUUACAGCCUGAAUUUAAAAUGGAUUACAUUGAGAUUUUGUGUCACUGGCUUACACACAAUACCUCAUAAUGUCAAAGAAUUUUUACAGAUUUUUACAAAUUAAUAAAAAAUGAAAAGCUGAAAUGUCUUUAGUCAAUAAGUAUUCAACUUCUUUUUUAUGGCAAGCCUAAAUAUGUUCAGGAGUAAAAAUGUGCCUAACAAGUCACAUAAUAAUUUGUAUGGACUCACUCUGUGUGCAAUAAGUGUUAAAACAUUAUUUUUUAUGACUACCUCAUCUCUGUACCCCACACAUACAAUUAUCUGUAAGGUCCCUCAGUCGAGCAAUGAAUUUCAAACACACAGAUCAGGGAGGUUUUCUAAUGCCUCACAAAGGCCACCUAAAAAGCAUACAUUGAAUAUCCCUUUGAGCAUGGUGAAAUUAUUAAUUACACUUUGGAUGGUGUAUCAAUACACCCAGUCACUACAAAGAUACACAGGCGUCCUUCAUAACACAGUUUCUGGAGAAGAAGGAAAAUGCUCAGGGAUUUCACCAUGAGGCCAAUGGUGACAUUAAAACAGUUAGAGAGUUGGCUGUGAUAGGAGAAAACUGAGGAUGGAUCAACAACAUUGUAGUUACUCCACAAUACUAACCUGAAUGAAAAGAGCGAAAAGAAGGAAGCCUGUACAGAACAAAAAUAUUCCAAAACAUGCAUCCUGUUUGUAAUAAUGCACUAAAGUAAAACUUCAAAACAUGUGGCAAAGAAAUUAUCUUUAUGUCCUGAAUACAAAGUGUUAUGUUUGGGGUAAAUACAACAUCACUGAGUACCACUCUUCAUAUUUUCAAGCAUGGUGGCUGCAUCAUGUUAUGAAUAUGAUUGUCAUCAGCAAGGACUAGGGAGUUUCUUCAGGAUAAAAAUAAACAGAAUAGAGAUAAGCACAGGCAAAAUUCUAGUAGAAAACUUGGUUCAGUCUGCUUUCCAAAAGACACUGGGAGACAAAUUCACCUUUCAGCAGGACAAUAACCUAAAACAAGGCCAAAUAUACACUGGAGUUUCUUACCAAGACGACAUUGAAUGUUCCUGAGUGGCCUAGUUAAAUUUUUUACUUACUUUUUUUAUUUUACCUUUAUUUAACUAGGCAAGUCAGUUAAUAACUUAAAUCUGCUUGAGAAUCUAUAGCAAGACUUGAAAAUGGCUGUCUAGCAAUGAUCAACAACCAACUUGACAGAACUUGAAGAAUUUUUAAAUAAUAAUGUGCAAAUAUUAUACAAUCCAGGUGUGCAAAACUCUUAAGAGACUUACACAAAAAUACUUACCACUGUAAUUGCUGCGAACGGCAAUUCUAACAUGUAUUGACUCAGGGAUGUGAAUACUUAUGGAAAUGAGAUAUUUCAUUAUUUCAUUUUCAGUACAUUUACAAACAUUUCUAAAAACAUGUUUUCACUUCAUCAUUAUGGGAUAUUGUGUGUAGAUGGGUGAGAAUAAAAUCUAUUGAAGCCAUUUUGAAUUCAGGCUGUAACACAACAAAAUGUGGAAGGGUAUAUAUGAAUACUUUCUGAAGAUACUGUACAUCCGACAGAAAACACCUUCCCACACACACAAGUCGACCCUGGGUGUUCUGCUGAGGUGUUGACGGGGGAUUGGCUUCCGAGGAACAGAGGCUGCAACCAAUUAGCAUACAGAGUAGUGACAUGUGAUGUAGCCUCAAAUGACCCCUGGUUAACAGAGAGGAUAGCAUGAACACACCACACUUUCUCUAUUCUCUCUCUCUCUUCAUCUCUCUUUCCUUUUCUCUCUCUUCCUCCUCUCUUUCUCUCGCUUCCUCCUCAAGUUCAGGCAGUCUAGAGGCCUUGUGAUCCGACUGAGCCCCGGCUUUGUGGGAUACUCUAGGACGCCAGCAUUAAGAUAAUGAGACAGUCACGGUGGGUCUAGUUCUCCAGGAAGUCAACCGGAGUAGUGAGAAUCUUUAAACUACUCUCAAGUCUAAUUCAGAGAGAGAGCGAGAGAGAGAGAGAGAGAGAGAGAGAGAGAGAGAGAAAGAGAGAGAGAGAUAACCCUGUGGUGGGCGUAAGUAAGAGGAUGGAUGGUUAAAUUGGCUGAAGAGAAUGAAAUGGAUUAAUUUCUGGUUUGAUUUAAAUGCGUAGUAAUUAGAGGUGGGAACAGAGUAGUAUUAGCAGCAGAGGUGAGAGAGAGAAGUGAGGUGAAUGCUCGACAUUUCCCAUUAGAAACUGCAUCUAGGCCGGUCAUAUGUGUUAAAUAGCCAUCUGAUUGGCUGACUGACUACGGUUGUAUAGGUCUGUUAUACUGUACAGAGCAUUAUGUAGUCAUGAGCUUAGAGAAUCAACUCCCCUGUAAACCAGAUGACCAUCUCAGUGGGACCUGCCAGGUUAAAUAAAGGAUAGAUCAAAUAAAUAAAGGUCGGGACUUUCCUCUCAUGCAGGCUGCAGUUUACAACGGUGUGGAGUGGGAAACGGGAUGGGACGGCUGGGUGAGAUUUACACUAGUAGAUUCACAAGGAGCUGGAGUGAAGUGGUGCUUUUCUCUGCUCUCCUGUCCUCCCUUUUUCUAUGCAGCUGCCUGGUAUGUGGGUCACACCAUGAUUUUGUGUGUGUGUUUUCACCCGCCUGUGUGUGUGUGUGUACCUCGGCGUGCACCUGUGUGUGUGUGUGUGUGUGUGUGUGUGUGUGUGUGUGUGUGUGUGUGUGUGUGUGUGUGUGUUCCUAUAUGUGAAUGCACCUCUCGCCAGACAGAGGGAGAUAUUUAAGUGUGACACGCUCCAUGGCCUGUUUGCCUUGCUCCCAGCCAUCAAGAGAAGUGUACACAUCCCUCACCCAGGCCAGGAAGGAUGUUUUUGAUGAAGUGGAGGGCUGAAUUUAGGCCCAGGCAUUCUCAGUAUCUGUCACCCAACUCCAAUAGAUCACCUUGCAGUGUGUUGCCCUGAGGAAGUGUGCGUCCAUGUUUACUCCCUCCCUCCCAGCUUCAGGUUGCUUUGAGCUGAGCCCAGUAAAUGUACACAGUGCCGUCAGAAAGUAUUCAUACCCCCUGACUUAAUCCACAUUAUUUAUAGCCGGAAUUCAAAAUUGAUUAAAUAGAUUUUCUUUUCACCCGUCUACACACAAUACCCGAAAUACUUCCAAAGUGAAAACAUGUCUUUAGACAUUUUAGAAAAUGUAUUGAAAAUUAAAUGCUUGUUAGAAUCACCUUUUUGCAACAACUACAGCUGUGAGUCUUUCUGGGUAAGUCUCUAAGAGCUUUGCACACCUGAAUUGUACAAUAUUUGCACAUUAUUCUUUUUUAAAUUCUUCAACCGCUGUCAAGUUGGUUGUUGAUCAUUUAUAGACAGCCAUUUUCAUGUCUUGGCAUAGAUUUACAGCCUUAUUGCAAACAGGAUGCAUGUUUUGGAAUAUUUGUAUUCUGUACAGGCUUUCUUCUUUCAUUCAGGUUAGUAUUGCGGAGUAACUACAAUGUUGUUGAUCAAUCCUCAGUUUUCUCCUAUCACAGCCAUUACUCUGUAACUGUUUUAAAGUCACCAUUGGCCUCAUGGUGAAAUCCCUGAGUGGUUUCCUUCCUCUCCAGUAACUGAGUUAGGAAGGACGCCUGUAUGUUUGUAGUGACUGGGUGUAUUGAUACACCAUCCAAAGUGUAAUUAAAAACUUCACCAUGCUCAAAGGCAUAUUCAAUGUCUGCUUUUUAAAGAUGUAUUUUUCAUCUACCAAUAGGUGCCCUUCUUUGGGAGACAUUGGAAAACCUCCCUGGUCUCUGUGGUUGAAUCUGGGUUUGAAAGUCACUGCUCGACUGAGGGACCUUACAGAUAAUUGUAUGUGUGGGGUACAGAGAUAGUCAAGUCAAAAAGCAUGUCAAACACUAUUAUUGCACAGUGAGUCCAUUCAACAUUAGUUGCUAAGCAUAUUUUUUACUCCUGAACUUAUCUAGGCUUGCCAUAAAAGGGCUUUUCAUUUUUUAUUAAUUUGUAAAAUUUAGAAAAACUAUUCCACUUUGACAUUAUGGGGUAUUGUGUAUAGGCCAGUGACACAAAAUCUCAAUUGAAUCCAUUAUAAAUUCAGGCUGUAACACAAGAAAAUGUGGAAAAAAUAAAGGUGUGUCAAUACUUUGAAGGCAAGGUACACAGUGACACUUGCUUUCCCUUCCUAAAGUGUCACUACAUUUACUUCCCUACUAAAUUGGAGUACAUCACUUUAAGUUCCAGUGUGUAUUGAGACGUUUGGAUGGACCUUAAAGUCCUCCGGUUGUGGUGCUCAUGUACUGUAUCCUCGGUCGACUACAAAGUAUUUUGAAUAUGGUAGGGAAACUCACUGCGCUGUAUGUAUUUUUGAACAAUGCCAUAACAAUGUCAUCUGCCUUGUUUAGAGUGGUUUACCAGAUGGCUUCCAUGGAGUUUCUCAACCUCCACCAAAUAGGGAAUUGCCAUUGACAGCAAGUAAACAACCAGAACACCAACUGCCGCCAAUGUAAACAUCUUAAGGUAGCAGACGUCUCUGCUACAUUCAAAACCACGGGUGCAGUUGUCAGGUAAAAACAACAUCCUCCUUACACUACCUCUCAAACGCUUUCCCAACCCAGACUCAACUCUUACAAUCUCUACCCCAAAUGUUGAAUUAACGUUGAAUGAAUGUAUUCACUGUAUACAUAUUAUCCGUAUAGGCUCGGUAAAAGGUCAUAAAGCAUCCAGUGACGGGUGGAAAUGAAGACCACACAGCUUGAAGAGAUCAGGUUGAAGAGGGAGGACAUAUUUAACUUGUGGGUCAUAGGUCAAACUCUCUCCCUUUCCAUCUCCCCCGCUCUCUUUCACUAUCUAUCACGGCACAAGGCGAGACCCAGAUGCAGACACAGGAGGCAGAUGGUUGGAGUCUUACAGUGUUUAAUAACCCAAAGGGGUAGGCAAGAGAAUGGUCGUGGACAGGCAAAAAAGUCAAAAACAGAUUAGCGUCCAGGAGGUACAGAGUGGCAGACAGGCUCGUGGUCAAGGCAGGCAGAAUGGUCAGGCAGGCAGGUACAGAGUCCAGAAACAGGCAAGGGUCAAAACCAGGAGGACUAGAAAAAGGAGAAUAGCAAAAAGGAGUAUGGGAAAAACACGCUGGUUGACUUGACUAAACAUACAAGACAAACUGGCACAGAGUGACAGGAAACACAGGGAUAAAUACACUGGGGGAAAGAAGCGACCUCUGGAGGGAGUGGAGACAAUCACAGGAACAGGUGAAACAGAUCAGGGCGUGACAUUCUCACCUUUCUCCUUCCCUCUUUCUGUCCCUCGACCCCUCUCUUUCUAUCACCCCACCUCUCUCUUUCUUUACCUACAUGUAUACUCCACUCUUUUCCUCUUCUGACCCCCUCUCUCUCCUUCAUUCUCACCCUUUCUCUCUCUCAGCCUGGCUGUUAUUUCUCCGUAUGUUUUGACUAUGUGCUACCUAAGCUGGUCUAUGCUGUGGGCCUGUGGCAGGUCUCUGGCAGACAGCAGUGUCAAGUUGGAGGGAGGGUUGGUGGGCUGUGUGUGACAUGGAGAAGGGCCCACCGGCACCGCAGCAGCUCCGCUGAGGCCAGGUCUUCAGCUGUCCCACCCUGCCUCUGCUUACAGUCACUAUCAAUCCAGCUGAUCCAGAAGCAGCCCGACCUUGACCUGACAGAUCAACACUGCUCUCUGUCUCUCUUUUAUUGCAAGGAGAACAUCCCCUGAAGGUGUGUGUGUGUGUUUGCAUAUGUGUUCAUGCAUGUAUGUGUGUGCGUCUGAAUGUAAUACAGUAUCUCAUGCAACAAUCACAGGAUGGAAUGCUCCUUGGUCCACAAGAGAGGAUGGAUGGAGAGAAGAUGGAUGGAGACUAAAGAUGGAUGAAUAGAGGAUAGACUAGAGAUGGAUGGAGAGAGGAUGGAUGGAGAGAGGAUGAAUAGAGGAUAGACUAGAGAUGGAUGGAGAGAGGAUGGAUGGAGAGAGGAUGGAUAGAGACUAGAGAUUGAUGGAGAGAGGAUGGAUAGAGGAUAGAGACUAGAUAUGGAUGGAGAGAGGAUGGAUAGAGGAUAGAGACUAGAUAUGGAUGGAGAGAGGAUGGAUAGAGGAUAGAGACUAGAUAUGGAUGGAGAGAGGAUAGAGACUAGAUAUGGAUGGAGAGAGGAUGGAUAGAGGAUAGAGACUAGAUAUGGAUGGAGAGAGGAUGGAUAGAGGAUAGAGACUAGAUAAGGAUGGAGAGAGGAUGGAUAGAGGAUAGAGACUAGAUAUGGAUGGAGAGAGGAUGGAUAGAGGAUAUAGACUAGAUAUGGAUGGAGAGAGGAUGGAUAGAGGAUAGAGACUAGAUAUGGAUGGAGAGAGGAUGGAUUGAGAGAGGCGUGGGUGUGGAUGAAUGGUAAGUGGAGGACCUGCAGUACUAAAAGCCGGCGACCCAGACAAUACACACCUACUCACAGGGACCUAACACCACUCACAGGACUGCUCCUUGGAUCACUGCUACCACAUGCUAAAACACUUAGAUACCACACACACAAACAGCAAAAUGUGAAGUUCCAAGCACAUUCAAAAUACAUUCCUGAGACACACACUACCAGUCAGUCAGAGACAUAAACACACGUUAUUGUGUGUGUUGUUGCCAUGCGAUGGUGAUGAGCAGCACAUGACAUGAAUGGGGCGUGGAGCCCAACCUCUUAUCAGACAAAGGAGAUACACAAAAAGGAGGGGAGGGAAGGGAAGGGAGGAGGAGGGGGGGGACGUGCCGCCCCAGACUGCAGUCAUGAGGUCUCCAUCCCGUUCGGCACGCCGAGUCCCGUGGGUAAAAGGCCAUAAAGAAAACUUUGCGCCAGAGCUAAAAUCCCCCUCACACAGUCAAGAGUCACAACACACACACACAGGAACGGGACUGCGUAAAUCAAUGCCAUUCACCACUGGAGGACAGUGAGUUGAGGAAGUCCAGACAAGCUAUUUCACACACACGCUGUUCAUGCGACCCCAUAAAUUCACUUUUUUUAUUUUUUUUUCUGUAUGUCUUGACCGAAAAGUUGCGUUUGUCAAUAAAAUGGU
rnacentral:lncRNA from 1 species